AGAUUGAUGUUGAACUUUCUCUAAGAGUUGACUCGAUGGAGAUGACGAGCCUCAAUGACCGUGAAGAAAAUGCAGCGAGAAAUUGAAUCCAUUUUUGGAUUCAAAGCAAAUAAUACAUGUAGAGAAAAAGGCUAAGGAUUAGGAUCCAAUGACAGUAAAAGAAAACAAAGCUAUCGUUAUAAAGGAAUCAUGCAUAGAUAAAGAAGCAUCAUGUAGAUCACCAAAGUAGGAAAUAGGAAAUGAGGAAAUGACCAGGAAAACAACAUUAGCUAAAUAGGUGUUUGACAUGGUUUGAAAACUUUGAUGAUUUGAAAAAAUGUUGGACAAUAACUGAAGGGGCAAAUGCAAACAAUUGUUGUGUAGUAGAUCACUUGAUUUUCAACCUAAUAUGAAAUAAUUCUGCAAGCAUGGACGCACCAGAAACUUCAAAGGCAGUCAAGCACAUUAACAUGUACAUAAAACAAUAAGUGAAAAUGAUUUGAGAUCAAAACUUUAUCAAAACAGGGGAAAACAUUCAAAUUUUUGAACAUGAGUAGAUACUUUAUAAAUACAACAAGAUAUUAUGGAAUCUCAGGUUAAUUAACAAAAUAUCACCUAAGAGGGACAAAUCGUCCUGAGACCUAACGACCUAGCUACUAAUUACCUUACGUUGAGAGCAAAACUAAACAGGAGGAUAGAUAAUCAAGUCGAGAACACCAUAUACUAAACAGAGCAUUGAGACUAAAGCGGAAUAUCUAGCAAAAACUACUGCGCAUCAAGACACGAUAUUUGAGUAUAAACAUGACAUAAUUUUUUAUGCUAAAAUGGUUUUCUAACCAAAACUAAACAUGAAUUUAGAUAUUGAACUCGAAUAACAAAUCAAAACAACUUUUGAUACUCAUGACAUCAAAUUAAUCAUGGGCAGUGGCCUAAACAAUAGGAAAAGAUGAAUCGAGAUAAUAAACCAGAAACGAAAAGAGAAGUUUCAACGAUAUAUGUGAUGAUUUGUACUACAAACUCACAGAUAAUCACCAACAUCUAUUAAGAGGUAGUAUAUUCAACAUAAUCGCAUUGAAAAUUUUGACAUGAACACUGAUUCAGCAAAUAGCAUAACAGUAGUCACAAACACAUCCUAAGGCCAUCAUAGCCAACAACAGCAGACAAUUCCAGCCUCAUUCAUGAAAAACAGAUAACUACUUUUACGAAGAAAGAGGGUAUGAAGCAGGAAACAACGGAAUUAAAAGGGACCAGCGUGUGUUUACCUCCUUUGGGGCAGCAAAAUGGGACAAUGAGUUGAUGAUAGGAUUCCGACCACCACCGAGAAACUAGAAACCUCAUAGCAACUUCUUUCAAACCAGUCUUUCAGAACCAAAGAAAAAAAAAAUUCUCUACCCUUCAACUCUCAAUUUUUAUGAAGACCCUAAAUUUUCUAAUCCGAGAAUUUUUCAAACCCCCAAAGAAAGUUUUCCUCCCAAUUUUCUCAGACAAUUUUCGAACCUCCAAAGAGCUCCCAAUUUUUAAAUCUUUUGAACCCUAGGAUUUCCAAUCCAAAAGAAAAUCCUUCUGAAAGAAGAGAAAAAAGACCCCCUAGAAUUUUCUCAGCCCAAAAUUCCGAACCCUUCCAAGAAGAGAAAAGAAAAAACCCCCCUCAACAGUGACCCCAGGAACCGUUUUAUAGGAGUCGAAUUAGUAUUCCCUAGGGAUUUCAAAAAGAGGGAGAAACUCCAAAUUUCCACCCGAAUCCCGCUACCCUCUAGCAGUCCAUACCCCCUUUGUACCAAAUUCUAGGGAUUUUUCCCAAAAAUGGCAACUGGUGGACCAAUAAAAUGUGGGAUACCGAAUCCCCUUUUCCAACCAAUGAAAUAUGCCCAAGCAUGUACCUAAUCCAUAACAAAAUCCUAAAAUCGCGAAAUAUAGCUAUUAUACGAGCCAACUCAUGCUCUUUCUAGCAGCUUCUUGGAUUUCCUAGGGUACAACAUCGCGUAGGACUCGUGGAGAGGAUUAAGAUGAGCUGAUUGCGGGUUGAUUUGGGUCUGGUUGAGAAGGGUUUGAUUGGAUUCGGGUAGAGGGUUGUUGAUUUGAGACUGUUGUUGCUUGCUGAGGUUAAGGAGAAAAGAAAAUGGGUCGGGUUGGGGUCAUGGUGCUGGGCCGAUCGUUUGUUGUUGAUAUUGGGCUGAGGGAUGUUGAGGGGAGUUGGGCCUAUUGUUUGUUGUUGAUGUUGGGCCUGGAUUAAAUAAUUGAAAUGUUGGGCUGGUAGAAGAAGAGAGGGAUGGCUGGUUGGUUUUAAAUUGGGCCGUUUUUAGGUAGAUUUAGGCUAUUUAUUAAAUAGACGAAGGAUGAAAAUUUAGACAAUCACAUUUAAAUUUUGGCCUAAUUCAAAUUAAAUUGACCCAUUACCUUGCAAUUAUGGUCAAAUUAAUUUCAAUCAAGGUAUAAUUUAAUAAAUUGACUAAAUUAAAACAACCUUUGAAAUGAAUUAACAACCAAUUCAAAUCCGAAGUUCCUUGAUUCAGUAAAAUCAAACUCAUAUUUAUCCAAAUACAUCACUUUUGAGAAUAAAAUAUUUAAAUCAAGAUUUUGAUCAUCACAUUUAUUUUCAAAGAUUAUUCUUAAUUAAAAUUUGAUAUUGACGAAAGUGUUCAUUUAAAUGACAUCAUUUGUAAAAUCUCGUAUAUGUAAAUACGGAAAUAUAUAAUUAUCACUUAAAUAAUAAAUUUAGCCUAACUACAUAUUUUAAAAUGCAUUUAAUUAGAAAAAAUAAUUGUUGCAAUUUUAUUUGAAAAUCGAAGAAACUCGAGAUUAAACGUAGUUGUGGAGGGCAAAAAUUAGGUGUCAACAACUUCCCCCUCCUUUUGGGUAGGGUAGAUGCGAGUAACCCUGGGCAAAGGGAGGUUGACGAUCCUAAGUUUUGUCCGACCACAAAUCUGAAAGAGGUUGAUUUUUUGCACGAGUUUCAUGGAGUUAUGGCCGAACCUCGGUAUCAAGUUUCCUACAUAUCUCAGGUUUCAUGAGAAUUCAGGCCACUUGUAGUUCAUAAAGCUUGAUUUUAAGCACGAUUUUCAAGAAAAUACACCAACUAUCACGGUUUUAGAGUGCUUCGGUUAAACUGAAAAGCUAGGGAAUAAAGGGAUUUGGGGGGAGAUUGGAAUGCAGUCGAGUUUUCUACAUAGAUCCCAGCCUACAUAUCCUCAAGAUUUCAGGGAAUCAGACUGCUUGUAGUUCAACUCAAUCGGUAGAAAAGAUAGUCUUUUGUUUCAGACAAUCUUUAGCUCGGGAUGAGUGACAAGUUAAUCAAGUUGUAGAAAAGAGGAUUGUAACCUCUUAACCAUGAACGUGGAGCUCUUCACAUCCAUAGGUAAGAACUUACCCGGACAUAAUUUCCAAAACUCUAAGUGAGUUGCCACCCGAACUUGAAAGAAAAAGAAAGUUCCCCUCAGUAUGAGUUAACAAACAUCCCAGAGGUAAAGGUGAGACCAGAAUAUCCAAAAAAAUACCCACAUGCCUUCUAAUAGAGGCGUGGUUAAAUGGUGGUGGUGAUCAUCAUUUAGCUCGCGUCUAGAGAGUUUGACAUCCCUUCCAGACUAUGUCCCAUUUUGCUGCUAAAAAAGAGUUCCACGUUGUGCUGCAUCCUUUUUGGAGUCGUCCGCACCUGUGGUUUUUAUUUGAGAUUUUCAUCCACUCGGAUGCUCUUGACAAUGCUUCUGGCAAAAGUGUUAGUGUUAAACAUAAUUCACGAAAGAGGUAAGUAAUCUUUUACCAUAUCUCUACAUGAGUUGUGGCCUGAAAAGUGAAGUCAUCCUUUAUUAUACCUAUUUGAUGGGAAAUAACUCGCAAUAAUAGACACAACAUCCUCCUUGGUUAUUAUAUAAUUAGCUCAUCUGUUGAGCGAAUAUGUUUUCAAAGUGGGGUGGCCCUUUUGAUUACCUAUAUCACUUGUUGUAUGUGGCAUGGCAACAUCUAUGGUUGUAGUCGAUGAUCAAUUUAUAAAUUUUCCUUAAAUUGUCAAUCUUCAAAUAAUCUUGCGCAUUAUUUGAUGUUGGAUACGAGGCGACUUACAGAUAUCCUUUGAAUUUCUAACUUAUAGGUAAUCCUGCACAUCAUCCGACUUUGGAUAAGAAAUGACUUAUAGAUAUCCCUCCAAUCGCUAGCUUUCAAGUGUUCCUGCACAUCAUCCGACCUUGGAUACAAUAUGACUUAUAAAUAAUCCCUCAAAUUGAUCGUCUUUGGGUAAUCCUGCACAUAAUCGAUCUUGGAUAUGACACGGCUUAUAGAGAACCCUUUUGCAUAUCCUCCGGUAAGAAUUUAGUUGUGACUUACGGAUAACCUUUGAAUUAUCAACUUUUGGGCGAUCUUGCAUACUAUCCGGUUAGGAUGUUAGUGUGGCUUACGGAUGACCUAUAAACUAUCAACUCAUAGGUGAUCUUGCACACUAUCCUGUUUCAAAUAAUAUGACUUAUAGAUGACCUUCAAAUUGUCAAUUGCUAGGAAAUCUUAUAUAUCAUUCAUCCUUAGAUAACGACCUGAAAGCGUCCCUCCAAAUCGUGUGCUCUUAAUGUAUUCAGAUGCUGAUUCAUGAAAAGAUGAUGAUAUCCUCGACGCUAGCAUUGUGUCUUGCGUGUCAACAAAUAUAUUGAAUGCUGAUGAUAUCCUCAAUGCCAGUGUUGUGUCUAGAGUAUCGAUAGAUAUAUUAAAUGCUGAUGAUAUCCUCGACGCCAGCGUUGUGUCUAGCGUGUCGACAGAUAUAUUGAAUGCUCAUGAUAUCCUCUACGCUAGCGUUGUGUCUAGCGUGUCGACAGAUAUAUUGAAUGCUGUUGAUAUCCUCGACGCCAAUGUUGUGUCUAGCGUGUCGACAGAUAUAUUGAAUGAUAAUGAUAUCCUUGAUGCCAGCGUUGUGUCUAGAGUGUCGACAGAUAUAUUGAAUGCUGAUAAUAUCCUCGACGCCAGCGUUGUGUCUAGCGUGUCGACAAAUAUAUUGAAUGUUGAUGAUAUCCUCGACGCCAGCGUUGUGUCGACAAAUAUAUUAAAUGCUGAUAAUAUCCUCAAUGCCAACGUUGUGUCUAGCGCGUCAACAGAUAUGUAAUGGCCUUUGCGGCAAUGAUAUGCAAUGGUCAUUGUGGCAAUGAUAAAAUAAUUUUACCUGGCUUCAUUUGUCAGCGUCCUACUUUCUACAUGUACCUGUACUCAAGGUAGACGAUUAGUAGACACAAAGUCGCUUUUACUAGCGACUAUUUUUAGGAAACUUCUAAAUACGAUACGUGUAAAGAAGACAAAGUGCUUUUGUUUGUCGCCUNNNNNNNNNNNNNNNNNNNNNNNNNNNNNNNNNNNNNNNNNNNNNNNNNNNNNNNNNNNNNNNNNNNNNNNNNNNNNNNNNNNNNNNNNNNNNNNNNNNNNNNNNNNNNNNNNNNNNNNNNNNNNNNNNNNNNNNNNNNNNNNNNNNNNNNNNNNNNNNNNNNNNNNNNNNNNNNNNNNNNNNNNNNNNNNNNNNNNNNNNNNNGGUAAUGAAAUUACUCCAUGUUUCCCUUCUUCGAUCCUUGAUUUUCUCCUUGCCAUCUCUUGGGAAUUCUACCAUAUUGAGACUUCCACCCUGACACUCUAUCCCAAAUGAUGUCUAGGCAAGUACUAAGUAAGUGAGUCGUAAGAUUUUUGAAAAUAAUUUUGAAAACUUUUGUAAAAAUUUUAGAAAAUUUCUGCCAGUCAUGUCAUGUACUAGCUCAAUGAACAUCUUCCUCGCGGUUCUGACUAUAUCCGAUGGAUGGUUUCCAAAACUCAUGAUUAUUGUUGGAGGUUUCUUCAAGUAGUUCUAUCAUAGCCAAAAAUUGAGUCUACCCAGGCUUUGUUACAGUUGGUGGUUUCCAAAGCUUUAACCUCUAGUGCUGGGGAAUUUGGAAUAUGUUCCGGCAUUUGAUGGAAAUUUUAGGGUCUUUCUCCAAAUUUCUGCCCCAGUUUAAACUUGUUUGAGAUAAUACCAAUUUGAGUGGAUCUGAAGUCUUUGCUGAUCUUCAUUCUCUUUAUUGGAUGUCGAUUUUCUCUAGUGAAUUUUCGAGAUUCCUUCUCGAAAAUUCUGCCCCAGUUUUCAUUUCCUAGGGUUAUAUGACCGAGCCAUUGGGGCGCCUACGUAUCCCGUUGAAGUAGGAAUCAGGUCAAACGUAGUUCAGGCCUGCGCUAGGGAUAUACAAAAGAAAUUAAUGGGUUGACCGAAGCUGACACAGGCCGCUUACGUAUCCUUUUCUCGGGAAUUCAAGUCAUCACGUAGUUCAUACAUAAAAAGAAAGGAUAAAUUUCUCUAAGGGAUUGACCUAAGCCAACUUAGGCCGCCUACGUAUCCCUUUCUUGAGAAUUCAAGUCAAACGUAGUUCAUACAUAAAAAGAACGGGAUUCUAGGCAUUUACACACUAGCAAACAAUAUUACUACAAAGGUAAUUACAAAUAAACUAAGAAAACACAAAAACUAAAACAUCGUUCAAACAUAAUAUCUCUUUACCGUAUCAGAAUUGAUUGGUUUGGUCCACUCUAUGCCAUCUAUCUCAGACAAAAUCAGAGCUCCUCCAGAUAGUACCUUGCGAACUAUGUAUGGCCCUUGCCAGUUUGGAGCGAAUUUGCCCUUGUACUCCUCUUGGUGAGGUAAUAUUCGCUUGAUAACCAGUUUCCCCACUUCAAAUGUUCGAGCUCUCACCUUCUUAUUAAAAGCAUGAACCAUCCUGUGUUGAUACAGCUGACCAUGGAAUACAGCGACCAUUCUCUUCUCAUUAAUCAACAUGAGUUGCUCAUGGAAAGCGCGGACCCAAUCUUCUUUACUCAGCCCAGCUUCCUGAAUAAUCCUUAGAGAAGGUAUUUCAACUUCAGUAGGUAUCACAGCUUCAUUCCCAUAGACAAGUAAAUAAGGAGUUGCUCCUGUGGAGGUUCGAACUAUUGUUCGAUACCCUAGCAAGGCGUAAGGUAACAUCUCGUGCCAUGAUCUAUCAUUUUCAACCAUCUUUCUCAAGAUUUUCUUGAUAUUCUUGUUAGCAGCUUCUACGGCUCCAUUCAUUUGGGGAUGGUAUGCUGUCAAGUUACGAUGCACAAUCUUGAACUGAUCAGAAAUUUCUUUCAUCAAGUGACUGUUCAGGUUUGCCCCAUUAUCAGUAAUAAUGUAUUCCGACACUUUGAAUCAGCAAAUCAAGUUAUUCCUGACGAAAUCUGCAACCACUUUCUUAGUGACGGCUCUGUAUGAAGCAGCUUCGACCCACUUAGUGAAAUAAUCGAUGGCAACCAAAAUAAAUAUAUGCCCAUUCGAUGCUAGUGGUUCUAUUGGUUCGAUGACAUCUAUGCCCCAAGCUAUGAAAGGCCAAGGAGAAUUCAUUGCGUGAAGCUUGUGUGGAGGCAUUCUAAUCAGAUCUCCGUGUAUUUGACAUUUUGGACAUCUCUGCAUAAACUUACUACAAUCAUUUUCCAUAGUCAUCCAGAAGUAACCGGUUCUCAGGAUCUUUCUGGCAAGAACAAACCCAUUCAUGUGGGGCCCGUAAACUCCAGCGUGUACCUCGUUUAUCAACUUAUUGGCUUUCACCACAUCGACGCAUCUUAGGAAUCCCAAAUCAGGAGUCCUCCUAAAAAGAAUUUCUCCACUUGAAAGUAAUUCUUUGCCAAACGCCGGAUUGUCUUCUUUUGGUUGUUACUAGCUUUUUCAGGAUAUAUUCCAGAUUCCAAAUACCUCUUAAUGCCAUAGUACCAAGGCCUUCCAUUAGUCUCCUCUUCCACGUGUAUGCAAUGCGCGGGUUGCUCCUUUAGGCUUAUUUCCAAAGGAUCGAUGUGACUCUAAUCCGGGUGCUGAAUCAUGGAAGAUAUCAUGGCCAAAGCGUCAGCAAACUCAUUUUGUGUCCGUGGGAUAUGUCUGAAAUCAACAUCCUUGAAUCUUCCGCAUAAUUCUUGCACCAGCUCCACAUAAGGAGUAAUCUUGGAGUUUUUUAUCUCCCAUUCUCCCCGUACCUGGUGAAUCAGCAAAUCUGAAUCUACGAUGGCUAGCAAUUAACGAACACCCAUAUCAAGUGCCAAUUUGAGCCCCAGGCUGCAAGCUUCAUAUUCAUCCAUGUUGUUGGUGCAUGGAAAAUGUAACUUAGCAGUUACCGGAUAAUGCUGGCUCAUUUCUGACACCAAAACUGCUCCAAUUUCUAAACCUUUGAAGUUGACCGCCCUAUAAAAAAUAGCCUCCAUCCGCGGUAGAUUUCCGUGAUAUCUUCUCCUAUGAACAAAACUUCCUCGUCUAGAAAGUAUGUCUGAAGUGGCUUAUAUUCCCCAUCAACUGGGUUUUUAUCCAAAUGAUCUGCUAAGGCUUGCCCCGUGAUUUCUUUUUGGGUUACAUACACAAUGUCAAACUCACUCAGCAACAUUUGCCACUUGGCUAGCUUUCCUGUAGGCAUGGACUUCUGGAAUAUAUACUUCAAUGGAUCCAUUCUCGAGAUGUGGUUAGUUGUGUAGGAUGACAGAUAAUGCCUCAACUUUUGUGUCGUCCAAGUCAAAGCACAACCUGUCCUUUCUAUAAGAGUAUAAUAGGCUUCAUAUGGUGUGAACUUUUUACUCAAGUAGUAAAUGGCUUUCUCUUUCCUGCUGGUCUCAUCAUGUUGCCCGAAGACACAUCCGAAAGCAUUUUCUGAGACUAACAGGUAAAAAAAUAAUGGAAUUCCUUCUCUCGGUGGGACCAAAACCGGUGGUGCAGACAAGUAUUCCUUGAUGCGAUUCUGACAUUUUUCUGUCUACUCAUUCAGUGCAUUUUUCUUCAACAUCUUGAGAAUUGGCUCGUAUAUGACUGUUGAUUGAGCAAUGAAUCUGCUAAUGUAACUCAGACGACCUAGGUAACUCAUAACUUCUUUCUUGGUCCUCGGUGGUGGCAAGUCUUGAAUUGUCUUGAUUUUGGAUGGGUCUAGCUCGAUCCCCCUUCUGCUGACUAUGAACCCCAGCUACUUCCCUGAUGGCACACCAAAAGCACACUUAGCAGGAUUUAACUUCAAACUGUACCUGCUUAAUCUUUUGAAGAAUUUCUACAGAUGAGUUAGAUGAUCCGAACUCUUGCGGGAUUUGAUAAUUACAUCAUCCACGUACGCCUCAAUCUCCUUAUGAAUCAUAUCAUGGAAAAUCAUUGUCAUGGCCCUCAUAUAUGUCGUGCGUUCUUGAGACCAAAUGACAUUACCCUGUAAUGAUAAACACCCCAGGGGGCAAUAAAAGCCAUUUUUUCUGCAUCUUCCUCAUCCAUUAAUAUCUGAUGAUGCCCGGUGAAACAAUCAACGAAUGACUGUAUUUCAUGUUUUGCACAGUUAUCGAUGAGAAUAUGGAUGUUGGGCAACGAAAAAUUAUCUUUAGGACUGGCUCUGUUCAAGUCUCUAUAGUCAACACAAAUUCGAAUCUUGCUGUCCUUCUUCAGCACAGGGACNNNNNNNNNNNNNNNNNNNNNNNNNNNNNNNNNNNNNNNNNNNNNNNNNNNNNNNNNNNNNNNNNNNNNNNNNNNNNNNNNNNNNNNNNNNNNNNNNNNNNNNNNNNNNNNNNNNNNNNNNNNNNNNNNNNNNNNNNNNNNNNNNNNNNNNNNNNNNNNNNNNNNNNNNNNNNNNNNNNNNNNNNNNNNNNNNNNNNNNNNNNNNNNNNNNNNNNNNNNNNNNNNNNNNNNNNNNNNNNNNNNNNNNNNNNNNNNNNNNNNNNNNNNNNNNNNNNNNNNNNNNNNNNNNNNNNNNNNNNNNNNNNNNNNNNNNNNNNNNNNNNNNNNNNNNNNNNNNNNNNNNNNNNNNNNNNNNNNNNNNNNNNNNNNNNNNNNNNNNNNNNNNNNNNNNNNNNNNNNNNNNNNNNNNNNNNNNNNNNNNNNNNNNNNNNNNNNNNNNNNNNNNNNAUUUUAGAACUAAUAUAGUUUUCCAAAUAAAUGAAGGCCUUUUUAUUGAAAUUUGAGAAAUAAUUACAACACCAUGGCUUGUGACUUGCACAAAUAUAAGCCCCCGCCUUUUUUGAAAGCAGUAAGAUACGAAAAUAAAGUUUUAAGGUAUAAAAGGUGGAUUGCGGGGCCUCCUCCGGAUCAUCACCGAUUUCAAAACUAUUAGUAAUUUCCCUUUCAUCUACCACGACGGGCGACGGGUUAUAAGUGGAGUGGAGGUCCAAUUUUACAGAUCCUCCCCUGGCGCAAUCUGCUUUACCCCGUUGGACUCUGUGAGAUCAUCUGGUACAGCAUUGUAUCCUUCAAAUAAAUCUCCUAUCCCAUCCCCAAGACCAUCAUUAUCUGACAUCUCUCGUAUGGGAAAUGACUGGAACAGGAGUGGCAAGGGCCUAAACAGACUCUUUUCUAGCUCAUCCUCAACCCUAUCUCUUCUGGUAAGCUGAUACCUUAACCCGUGCUUAGAGUUUCUCUCUGGGAUCACAAUAGGCUCGAUAAUUCCUUGUAAAUUCUUGCCCAAGCCUCGACCAGGUUCGAACCCAUUUCUUAACAUCACAGCUGCAAUCAUUUUGUAGACAGAAGCCAUUGAUAUUUUGGGUGUCGAAUUUCUUUCCGCAGCGUUUACAAUUUCCACUGUAUAGAAACUGCUACCUUUUGGAACAUCUUUAAUCACCGAUACAUAACCAUUGGGAUGGUCCUCUUGACUUCCUUCUCCUUGGAUGACUACUUCAUGAUCUUUCCAAAUGAACUUUAAUAAUUGAUGAAGGGGUGAUGAAAUUGCCUUUGCCCCGUGAAUCCAUGGUCUUCCUAAAAGCAGGUUGUAGCUAGGAUGGAUAUCCAUAACAUAAAACUUAGUCUUAAACUCAGCAGGCCCCAUUUGGAUGUGCAAAUCAAUCUCUCAUAUGGUAUCUCUCUGCCCUCCAUCAAAUGCUCUCAUAUUUACGUGACUUUUAUGAAUUUUCCCCAGAUCAUAGCCCAUUUGGACCAGCGUGGAGAGGGGACAAAUAUUCACACCAGAUCCAUCGUCUAUUAAUACCUGAUUAAUUGCAUAAUCUCGACAAUGAUAGUGACAUGCAUGGCUUUGUUAUGCAUUGCUCCUUCAAACGGCAACUCUUCGUCACUAAAUGAUAUGCGAUGGUUCCCCACAACGUUCCCUAUCAUCGCAGCCAAAUUCUCAAUGCUCGUUUCGGCAGGAACAUAUGCUUCCUCCAAGACCUUUGAUAACCUAUUGGUGGUGUUUUGAGCUCAAUAAUAGUGCCAAGACAGAGAUUUAGGCCGGCAUUUUCUCCAAGUGUUUGACAAUUGAGUAAUCCUUUGGUUGCAUACGCCUCCAAAAUUCCUCAGUCUCUUCUUCAGUGAUUGGCCUUUUCUGUGAAUCUUUCUUGUUGGUCAAUUCCGCAGGGAUGUAACAUCAUCCUGAUCGCAUCAUCCCCUGGGCAGCGGUGGUUUGCAUAAUAAAUUCCUUCUUUGGAGGGGGAGCGUACACUUGAGUCGGUGAAAUCAUCACUAUAAAUAGGGCUUUCUCGCUGAUACUUAAGGCAACUACAGCUUUCUCUAUCUUUCCUACCUCUUUCGCCCUUUUGUGAUUUUCAGAGUUCACCUGAGUAAUGGUCUUGCCAGAUGCCCAUUCGCCUUCUAUUUCAAUUAUGUUAACUGUAGAUCCCCCAUGGUUGGGCAGGGAUUUCUGCUAACAUUUAGAGUAGGUGCCUGGAGCGUGAUGACCUUUUGAUCAAUCAGAUCUUGGAUUCUGUGUUUCAAGAUAAGACAGUCCUCGGUACUAUGCCCUGCUGCCCCUGAAUAAUAGGCACAAUUUUGAUUAGGAUGAUAAAAUCGGGAGCUAGGAUUGACAGGCUUUGGUUGUACUGGUUGUAAAUAACCAGCAUUCCUCAAUCUUUCAAACAAUUGGGUGCGACUUUCAGCUAGUGGGGUAAAGUUUCAGGGAGGUUUCUUUUUAUGGUUUGGACGCUGGGGGUUAUACUGGCUUAGGUUUGUAGGAGGGGGUACUUGGUGGCAAUUUGGAGGUGUUUGAAAAUUUGUUCGGCUAUUUAGGGGGAGUAGUUUGGAAAUGAGACUGAUAAUAAUUUGGAGGUAGAACUGGGUAUUGGGGAAAGAUAUCUGGCUGUGGAUCUUGGUAUGAUGGUGGGAUGUUUGGGAGUGGAGUUUGGUAUUGGGAGUGGACGUAGAAUGCGUGCGGAAGGUUAAGUGAUGGCGGGGAAGAUAAAACGUUUCUAGAUUUGAACCGUUGUUUCGAUUUUGUAACAGAAUUGGCAGAAACCCCACCUACCUCUUCUUUCUUCUUCUUAGAAAACAUGGAAGUUCCAGAUGAUGUCGGGGUUUUGGCAAUUUUUCCUGUUCGAAUAUCUUCCUCUAAUGAUUCUCCUAUUUUUACCAAAUCUGCAAAGGUUGCUCUGAUAGCGGACACCAUCCUGGUAUAAUAUUCUCCUUCUUGAGCGCGAGAGAACACGAAUACCAUUUCUUCCUUGGACAUGGGGGGCUGUACUUUGGCAGCUUCUUUUCUCCAACGAAAAGCAUAAUCUCGAAAACUCUCAACGCUCUUUUGUUUAAUCCGAUCUAGUGAAUACCGAUCAGGGACUAUUUCAAUGUUGAAUGUGAACUGGUCAAGGAAACUCUUGUCCAAUGUCUUCCAACCAGUCCACCUUUUCGGAUCCUAAGACAUGAACCACUCCAAGGCUUCACCAUUCAAACUUCGACUGAAUAGGCGCAUUAAUAAUGCCUCGUUUUUCCCUAUCCCUACUAGUUGCUCACAGUACCUUCUUAGAUGGGCCAUUGGAUUUUCAGUACCAUCAAACAUCUCAAACUUAGGGACCUUGUAUCCUUCUAGUAGGUUUACUCCUGGGUGAACAGACAAAUCGUCAUACCCCAAACAGUCGUGGUCCUUGGCCCCCUGAGACUCUUUGAUCCUCAUGAUCUCUUCUUGCAUGGAUAGUAAAUUUCUUUUAUGCUGGGCUCUCCAUUCCUUCUCCUUCUCCUCGUAAUGGUCUAUCUCAGGGUUAGGAAGGGGUUUAUAAAUAUCAGGAGAUGUGAUGGCUUGAGGGGGAUUUGAAAAGAAGGCUUGAUUUUGCAGAUAGAGGGAAUUUGGUUGGCAAGUGGGGAGAACAUUUUGGAAAUUAGGAAGGUUAUGUGGGCCUUGUAAGUAGUUUGGCAGAUUAUGAGAGGGAUUUUGCAGAUUUGGAAAUGAAUUUGGUGGAUUCGAGGGUAGUUUGCUGUAUUUUGUGGAUUUCGGAGUAAAUCUUGCGAAUUUGGGAAUGCGUUUUGUUGAUUUGAGAAUGUGUUUUGAGGAUUUGGGAAUGGAUUCAGAAUGUGUUUUGAGGAUUUGGGAAUGGAUUCGAAGAUGGGUUCUGUGGGGUUGCGGAUGGAUUUUGUGGAUGGUAGGCGUCUGGGUUACUUUCACGAUUAGUAUUUUAGACAAAUGGAGGAGCGGAGCCGGAUGAUACGUUACUUGGUUGGUCCCCAAGAAUAGGGGUACUGAGGGGGGGAUUUGGAGUGGAGACCCGUGUCCCCCCGGAGCAGGGGCGUUGACGGUGAUGGCUAAGUUAGACAAUUCUUGAGUACGAUUUAUUUCCUCCUGAAACAAUUCUAACUUUCUUGCAAGUUCCGCAAUCAUCUCAUUCUAUUCCGCUAUCGCAUUAUCCCGGAUAGCCAGUGCGCUUUCUUCGUCAUUUCCUGUCAUUUUUGAAUGAUGGUCCGAGGAUGAGAUUUUUUGUGCUUUCGAUCGGGUGAAGUAGGGAUGUUCUGCCAGUUUAUCAACAUGGAGUAAUUUCUGUUAUCUGCAAAGUAAAACAACUCAAAGGUAAAUGUGUUAGUUUCCGUAUGUGAUAAGUAAUGCAAAAUAUUUGACAAGAAAUAAUCACACAGAGUUGUUCGAGUCAUAGCCAAAUUCAUCCGUAGGUCAUAGUGGAUAAACUUGCCUUUGAUAUCAACCAAUGCAUAUAAGCACAUAAAAUAGUUAUAUCACACAAGACAUUAAGAUAACGCGUAUCCUAAUGGGGGUGACCCUUUUUGAGCGAAGGGUUCAGGCCUAACGAUUUUUUGAAGAAAAUAUAUGCUUCCUCAAAGUCAAUCCAUUAACCCCCAUCUCAUAUAGACACAAAAAUGGCAUAAAUCCCUACAAAAGAUAACGAAACAGGGAUACAAUUUUUAGGGAAAAGGGAAAAUAACAUGAAAGAAGAUAAGUUCCCGCGCAGGGGAGAAUAGAAAAGCUAGCUACUGGAGACUUCUUCGUCUGCUUUUUCCUUCUUUGCCUUGUUUAACUCAUGUGCUAUUUGAUACCUAUUGAUGAUAAGGUGAAUCCCGCAUAAUUAUGCCUUGCAGUCGUAAGUCAUUUCUCUUAUGCUGUCGAGUUGGGAGGCCAUGCUAUCGUCCAAAUCGAUUAGGCAUUGCCUUGCAUCAUUAGAGUCUUGCCUAGCUCUUUUCAACUCUUCCCUCAAUGUAUGUAUGGUCAAAGCAUCUUCCAUGUGCAUCUUCCAGUGUGCAAUUUCACUUUUCUGGAACUCAUCUUGUAGCCUGUGAAGCCAAAUUUGAUGCUCGGAUUCUACAUCCACAAACAAAGUGGGCACAUUUGGUACCGGAUUCAAUGCUCCGGUGAGGCUCCUUUUCAACCACUCCUUGUAAGUAUCGCUGACUUUAGGUUCAUACCCUAUACGGAAAGACACUUCUACCCACUUUUUCCUUCUUCAUCCAUUUAUCAUGUAGUCUUUGAUUAUUGCCUAAGAACUCUGCCAAGAUUGUAGGGGCGGGUUCCCCUGAGACCCGGGAGCACUAAAAAAGGCCAUUCGCCCCCUCGAAUGAUGUAUUUCCUUGAACGAAGAUAGUUAAGGGACCAUUGGACAUCGCCAUCUCUUAAUUCUCCAAGAGUCUUAAACCAAAAUUCAUGGGAUGCUUCCCUUUUGAACUUGUGUAAAAAAAACCACAUAUCGUGCGAUUCUAGCAGAUUUCUUCUUGUUUUGUGAUCAGGUUGUGCCGUUCUAGGAUUUUUCACCAAAUGCAUCAUCAUCCACCAUUGUAAUAUAAGGUUGCAGCCUUAAAAGAAAUAAUUCUCGACUUGAUAACUUCCCAAAGCGCGAUAUAUGUUGGCGACAAUCAUGGGGGCUAAGUUGUGGGAUACUUUUUUAGAAUUGUAUUCCAUUCCGAAGAAGAGUGCAUGGGUCACUGUGAUAACCCUCGGAUGAAUUGUGCCAUUUCCCCCCUGCGGGAACACCAUGGUUCCAAGUAGGCCUACCGCGAAUGGAAAAGCUCUCGUUUCCUUCCAUUUUGCUUCCGACUCCAAUUUAUGCCCAAAUUUAUGAAAAGAGUUGAAUCUUCCAAAUCGAUGGUACAACUUACGAAAGUGAUAUUUGCUCCAUUAUGUUCUCUUAGCCAGGUGCCAUCGUCAGUUAAAAAUACCUCCUUGAUCUUUUAACGAUCCCACACAUCCGGGACUAAACUAUUCUUAUCUGGUGUCUCCCUUCUCUUAAAACACAUUUCUGUACUCUCGUAACAAAUCAAUACCUCUUCCCCGAAGUGACAUACCAUGUUCUGAUCAUCCUAAAAAGUUGUUAGUACAUGGAUCAUUUCGGGUCAAGCGUCCAUCUCGAUCAAAGAAGGAAGAUGCCCAAUGUGUGUCCUAACAAUCUUUCUCUCUUCUGCGCUCAUGUGGUCCUACCAUAGUUUAAAGAAACCAUCAGGUUUGGUAACCGUCUUGAACUUUUCGCGAGAAUGUAGUUGAGCCAUAUCCUACAUGAAAGCAGACAAAGAUAAGCCUCCCCCCGACCCCAAAAGGUAAUUGAUUGAAUUUAGAUAAGCAUGCAUUUCUUCAACACAUAAAUAUGAUUCGUCUGUAAUUGACUCGGGGUCAAUAGACGCAGGGAAGGUUUUUUAAUGGACCCAAUACCCCGCUCAGAUAUUGGGUCGUCCUAGGCAUAUGCCUAAAAUAGGGUUUUAGUUUCGUUCUAUCCUCGGUGUCUAGAGUGGGCUUGGACACUGGUUCUCAAGCGGACAACUUGAGUUUUGAAAAUACGAACAGCGUCAGACGACUCACGUGCUGAUAAGCUAUUCGAAUUUCCAACACAUUUUGGAAUUGAACAACAAGGGACGGGACAUCCACGAAACCAUAAAACAGUUUAUAAGAUGCAGGAAAUGCCAUGAGAUGCGAUAAUUAAACUUUACAUAAUCGAAACACAUAAACAGUUAAUCAAAGAUGAAAUAAAACUUUUGGUUAGAACCUAGUUAGAUCCCCAGCAGAGUCGCCAUUUCUGUUUUGCGGAGAAAUUUUGACUUUUGAAAGAGUCGCCACUUAAUUUUGAAAAGGAAUUAAGAAAACCUUUAUAAAACACUUUAACGAUUCAAAACAAGAAAAUCGUUCAAGUUUAGAGAAUUCCGGGUAAGUGGUUCUUAUUAAUGUUUUAGGAAGGUUUUAGGCACCUAAAACAUCCGCUAACUUGCGGUUAUCCGAACUGUUUGAAAAUCGUCUUUAAUUAAGUUUGAAAAGUGAUUGAUUUUUGGAAAGAAAGUGAUUUUGAAAAUAUUUUGGUAUUUAUACAAAACUAGUUUUUAGCGACUUAAAUAAGGAUUUGACUAGGUUCGCAAGAAGCACAUAAAACAAGUAAGCGAAAAGGAAAAGGGAAAAGGGAAAAGGGAGAAAUAGUGAUUUAGGCUCUUUGAGCCCAAACCGUUGCCCCUGUCCUAAUCUAGUUGGGUCUUUGACCCACAUUUUUUCACCUUUCCUAAUUCUAUGUUUCCGAGCCCUUUUUGGCUCAAUUUUCUCUCCACUUGUAUUAAAUACAACCUUGGCUUCAUGACCCAAAUGAAUGAAUAAAAUAAAUAAAGACAACAAUAAUUAAACGAAACAAAAUAAUAAAUGAGACUUUUGUCUCUUAGCCGCUUCAAGAAUGGGACUUUAACCCAUUUCUUCUUCUUUCGACUCCCUAUAUUCAUUGUGUCAUGAGAUUGAUGUUGAACAUUCUCUAAGAGUUGACUCGAUGGAGAUGAUAGGCCUUAAUGGCCGUGAAGAAAAUGCAGCGAGAAAUUGAAUCCAUUUUUUGGAUUCAAAGCAAAUAGUACAUGUAGAGAAAAAGGGUAAGGAUUAGGAUCCACUGACAGUAAAAGAAAACAAAGCUAUCGUUAUAAAGGAAUCAUACAUAGAUAAAGAAGCGUCAUGUAGAUCACCAAAGUAGGAAAUAGGAAAUGAGGAAAUGACCAGGAAAACAACAUUAGCUAAAUAGAUGUUUGACAUGGUUUGAAAACUUUGAUGAUUUGAAAAAAAGUUGAAAAAUAACUGAAGGGACAAAUGCAAACAAUUGUUAUGUAGUAGAUCACUUGAUUUUCAACCUAAUAUGAAAUAAUUCUGCAAGCAUGGACACACCAGAAACUUCAAAGGUAGUCAAGCACAUAUAACAUGUACAUAAAACAAUAAGUGAAAAUGAUUUGAGAUCAACACUUUAUCAAAACAGGGGAAAACAUUCAAAUUUUUGAACAUGAGUAGACACUCUAUAAAUAAAACAAGAUAUGAUAGAAUCUCAGGUUAAUU
rnacentral:lncRNA from 1 species